GGAGUUGGCCGGAUGGUCGCUCUCCGCUCGGCCUGGUGAGGAUUCUCGCCAGGAGGCAUACGCCUGGAACCGAGUCGGGGAGAGGAAAGUCCGGGCUCCACAGGACACGGUGGUGGGUAACGCCCACCGGCCGCGAGGCCAGGGAAAGUGCAACAGAAAGCACACCGCCGAUGGCCCGUGGGCUGCGUCCUGCGGGAUCAGGUAAGGGUGAAAAGGUGCGGUAAGAGCGCACCAGCAGUCGGGCGACCGACUGGCUCGGCAAACCCCACCGGGAGCAAGGCCAAGUAAAGGAGGAGGGCUGGUCCGGCCCCGGCAGGCUCUUGGCGAGGCCUGCGUCACUCCUGGGUAGGCCGCUCGAGCCGACGGGUAACUGUCGGCCCAGAGGAAUGACCAUCACCUCGCACCAUUCCGGCCCAUCUCUGACAGGCAGGGCUGCGCCGGAGUGGUGCGGGGUACAGAACCCGGCUUACAGGCCAACUCCCCUU
rnacentral:RNase_P_RNA from 1 species